rnacentral:rRNA from 1 species
UACGGAGGGUGCAAACGUUGCUCGGAAUCACUGGGCGUAAAGGGUGCGUAGGCGGGUCUUUAAGUCAGGGGUGAAAUCCUGGAGCUCAACUCCAGAACUGCCUUUGAUACUGAAGAUCUUGAGUUCGGGAGAGGUGAGUGGAACUGCGAGUGUAGAGGUGAAAUUCGUAGAUAUUCGCAAGAACACCAGUGGCGAAGGCGGCUCACUGGCCCGAUACUGACGCUGAGGCACGAAAGCGUGGGGAGCAAACAGGG